GGGCAGCAUGGUCUUAGCUUGCUAAGACUGAUGGCGACCGGCGCACGGGUGCGUAACGCGUAUGCAACUUGCCUCACAGAGGGGGAUAACCCGUCGAAAGACGGACUAAUACCGCGUACACUCUAUGUUGGGCAUCCAAUGUAGAGGAAAUGAAAUUCGCUGUGAGAUAGGCAUGCGUCCCAUUAGCUAGUUGGUGAGGUAACGGCUCACCAAGGCGACGAUGGGUAGGGGAACUGAGAGGUUGAACCCCCACACUGGUACUGAGACACGGACCAGACUCCUACGGGAGGCAGCAGUUAGGAAUAUUGGUCAAUGGGCGAGAGCCUGAACCAGCCAAGUCGCGUGAGGGAUGACUGUCUUAUGGAUUGUAAACUUCUUUUAUACGGGAAUAACAAGAGUCACGUGUGGCUCCCUGCAUGUACCGUAUGAAUAAGCAUCGGCUAACUCCGUGCCAGCAGCCGCGGUAAUACGGAGGAUGCGAGCGUUAUCCGGAUUUAUUGGGUUUAAAGGGUGCGUAGGCGGCCUGUUAAGUCAGCGGUGAAAUCUAGGAGCUUUACUCCUAAAUUGCCAUUUAUACUGGCGGGCUUGAGUGUAGAUGAGGUAGGCGGAAUGCGUGGUGUAGCGGUGGAAUGCAUAGAUAUCACGCAGAACUCCGAUUGCGAAGGCAGCUUACUAAGGUACAACUGACGCUGAAGCACGAAAGCGUGGGUAUCAAACAGGAUUAGAUACCCUGGUAGUCCACGCAGUAAACGAUGAUAACUGGGCGUAUGCGAUAUACAGUAUGCUCCUAAGCGA
rnacentral:rRNA from 1 species